rnacentral:rRNA from 1 species
CAGCAGCCACGGGAAUACGUAGGGUGCAAGCGUUAAUCGGAAUUACUGGGCGUAAAGCGUGCGCAGGCGGUUCGCUAAGACAGAUGUGAAAUCCCCGGGCUUAACCUGGGAACUGCAUUUAUGACUGGCGGGCUAGAGUAUGGCAGAGGGGGGUAGAAUUCCACGUGUAGCAGUGAAAUGCGUAGAGAUGUGGAGGAAUACCGAUGGCGAAGGCAGCCCCCUGGGCCAAUACUGACGCUCAUGCACGAAAGCGUGGGGAGCAAACAGGAUUAGAUACCCCAGUAGUCCCUGUCUCUUAUAC